UACAGAGGGUGCGAGCGUUAAUCGGAAUUACUGGGCGUAAAGCGCACGUAGUCGGCUUUGCAAGUCGGGUGUGAAAUCCCCGGGCUCAACCUGGGAACUGCAUCCGAGACUGCAUUGCUAGAGUAUGGGAGAGGGAAGUGGAAUUUCCGGUGUAGCGGUGAAAUGCGUAGAUAUCGGAAGGAACAUCAGUGGCGAAGGCGACUUCCUGGACCAAUACUGACGCUCAGGUGCGAAAGCGUGGGGAGCAAACAGG
rnacentral:rRNA from 1 species